UCAGACACAUUCAGCCUGGGUGCUGAAGAUCACUGUGCAGGGUGAGAAAGAAGUCAAAAAUUUGCCCAGAAAAACUCAGAAAUCACAGCAAACAGAGGGCUUGAUUCUCAGAAGUAUGAAGGAAGGGAAUAUACAGAAGAAAAUGUCUCUCUGCAUAUCAUAAAAAUAGCAAAAUUUCCAGCAUAUGCUGCUAUUUAACUUUUUUAUUCUGGCAGACCGUUUGUGACUAGUGAUGGGUGGGGCUGUUCUUGCAUGUAUGUUUCAGCCAAGUAUGAUGAAUGCUCAGAAUAUUUUUCCUGACCUUACAUGAAUUUACUUUUGGUUUUUUUCUCUCUCAUGCGCCUUCUCCUGGUGUUUUCUAUCAGAUGGGGUUCCCAGGCAGCUCCAUAUAGGAUCAUAUCAGAGAUAUAUGGAGUAAUUCCAUUUAGAUAUAAAAUUGACCCAUUUCUGAAACGUGUUCCCUUAUUUCCUUCAUUUAUUUUGGCAUACGCGAGACAGCAAGCAAAUAAGAACAUUAUUUUUUAAGGAAUUUUCAAAACUGGAGUUCCUGCAAAAAGGAAAUGAACUAUGCUUCAAAAACUCCCAUGACCUACAUCCAAACUGUCUUCCAGAAAGUUUACAACGUGUUGUGCCAAUAGCCAUUCGUCUUCCCGUGCAGACUCGCCUAAUGGAAAAGAUAUGCUGACCUAUGAAAGUGACUCUCCAGUUAAUGACAUGACCUGAGCUGUCUUGGAAAUUCAUCUUCUGCUGUAUAUACAUCAUUUUGUUCUGAGUUUGAUUCGUGUGACUCCUUCUGGCGAAACAACAAGAUCUGCUUUUUGGAAGCGCCACGCUAAAAGCCAGACUUCAGAUAGAGAUGAGUCCAUUAAGGCACCAUCCCUUUGCUGCCUUCUGCCUGAGUGACAAGAAGCCUACAGCAAGUCACAGUCAUAUCCUCUAGGAAGCUACUCAGGACAUGACACCUGUUGAGCUCGCAUGAGAAAGCUCUGACAGAGAGGAAAACGUUAGUUGAUCCGUGAGUGCACAACCCCACCCCCUCAGGUCAGCAGUUGUGGACCAUGAGAGUUUUAGGCUGCACGAUCACUUUGAACCUGAAAAUCAGACAGACCUACAGAAUGACAUGUAGCCAAAGUGCUUUUCGGUUAGCAUUAGGUAGUCGCUACUCGAAGAAAUGCUUAUUCCAGAGAAGAUGUGGCAUCCACAAAAACGUACAGUGCUUUUUGUUCUAUUCAUAGUGGUUAAAUAAUUUAUUUUGUUGUAUUGGUUACAUUCCCCGAGUGGCAAUAAUUUGACAUGCAUGGCAGUUAAAUAUCUGCCAAGCACCCCACGGGUUGCAGGGAGUCUGACAAAAGGUCACCGAGUCCGCUGGAGGUUUGCGGGAAUAGUGAGGCAGGGCCUCUGCUGAAACUUUUGCUGGAAACCCCCACUGGGCUGAUAUGUGUUCUAUGGCCUUAUUAGUUUAAAAUUUAAUAAUUUUUCAGCACUUAUUGCAUCUACUACAAGCUCCCAAUGAAAAAGGGAAAAAAAAAGCGAAGACCUUUUCUCUUGCUUUAAAGUGUAAUACUUUUACAAAAUGCUAUUGUUUGAAACCAAAUGCCAGGACAAUGAUGCUGGGGCUGGGUGACAGCUGCUGGCGGAACUCCAGGGAAAGGGCGGAAUGGCAACCUGGCUUCCCCUUCCCAGAGCCCAGGCCCAUUUAUGAGUAAUGAGAAUCGGCUCCGGGGGCCGACGAUGCUGUCAUGAUCCAGAGAGCCAGGGUGCUGUGCUCAUCACAUGUACGGAAAGACCCGACAUUCUUUCGAACCCUUGAAGAUAAACAAUGGGUCCUCAGUUGAACGUUUUGUCUUCUCUGGCUAAAUAUCCAUAAUUCAUUCAUCAUUCCUCUUAAAUGAUGGUUUAGAUUCCAUUAUGAGCUCCAUAAGAGUCACCUGGAGGACCCUUUAAACUAGCCGGAACUUCUGUAGGUUUUAACCCUCAAACAUAACUGACAACUUUUAAGCUAUCUUGGGCCUGGCCAGAAUCAUAUAAGAAUUGCUAAGGAUUCUCACACCAAGGGUAGACCCCCAGACCCAGAAUACAUGGGAUCUUAACCUCAGCAGCUGAAGGGAGGGGACUGUAUCACUUAGGCCCACCCAUCAAAGUGUCGGCUGACCACUUUUCUCUGUUGGCUCCAGAAGGUCCUCUGAAAGGGAUGCAUGUGCUUGUGUGACCCGGACUUCGAAAAACACAGUCAACAUUCACCUUAAACUUGUCAUACUAGGGACAGAACAAAGACUUAAGUGCAUUUUUUUGAAAACUGUCAAAAUACAGGAGUUAAACUUAAGAGGAUAAUAAAACCAAGAAAGGAGUAAUAAAACUGCCAACUCCUCCUUUUUCUCCAAGCUCUAUUUAGGCAAAAUUCUAUUUGUUCUCUUACGGAAAGAGAAGGCCGUCCGAUUUAAGGGCCCAAGCAAACAAGAAACAGGACAUGUUAAUUGAAGGAAUUAUUGUAAAUCAAAGUCUGAGUGCGAAAUUACAUGCUUCAUAAUUUUACACUUAAGUGAAGUGCAUUUCUGUCCAUGCUUGUAAAGACAAAGAAUUUUCCUCGUGUCUGACAUAUCAAAUACCAAUAACCUUGCCACAUAGCAGCCAGAGUGUAAAGUUGGAUGAUUCUGAAAGCUUUUUUAUUGUAGUGAACGUGAGGAUGUGCAAAAUGCAUCGUCACUCCAUUAUGCGGGCAUCUAGGUGUUUGAUCAUUCAUCAACACCCCUGAAAGUGUGACUGAAGGCAAUAGAGUACAUAAAAGAAAUGCUGUAGUUCUAAAAAAGUUUAAAUAUAUAGAGGGGCACCUGGGUGGCUCAGUCAGCUGAGCAUCCGACUUCGGCUCAGGUCGUGAUCUCGCAGUCUGUGAGUUCGAGCCCCAAGUCAGGCUCUGUGCUGACAGCAGAGCCUGGAGCCUGCUUCGGAUUCUGUGUCU